GCGUCCAUCGUUCAAUGGAUAGGACAGAGGUCUUCUAAACCUCCAAUAUAGGUUCGAGCCCUAUUGGACGUA
rnacentral:tRNA from 1 species